UAAAUGGAAAGAAAGCACUCAAAAUCUGUUAACGGAGAUAAUUAGAGUGCAAAUCUAGUGCCAGCAGCCACAGUAAUUCCUGCUCCAGUAGCAUAUAUUAAAGUUAUUGUGGUUAAAAAGCUUGCAGUUUGAUCCCAGUUCAAGACAGGUAUUCCACCUACUCCUGGUUACUGCUUGUUCUGAGCAGCCAGCCAGUUUCCUUUGGUGAUGUUCACUGGCUAUCUUGGGUGAAAGACAAGCUUACUUUGAAAAAAAUAGUGUGCUGAAAACAGCUGCAGUGCUUAAAUAAAGGUGCUACAAGCUUUUUGACUACAACAAAUUUAAUAUAUGCUAUUGGAGCUGGAAUUACGGCAGUUGUUGGCAUCAGACUUGCCUUCCAAUUGAUACUUGUUAAACGAUUUAGAGUGUACUCACUCCA
rnacentral:ncRNA from 1 species